rnacentral:tRNA from 1 species
AAAAAGGGUAAGUUAAUAAAACUUCUUGAUUCAUGAUCAAAAAAUACACUUUAAGUGUCCUUUUUA